rnacentral:rRNA from 1 species
GCUUGUCUCAAAGAUUAAGCCAUGCAUGUCUUAGUGUAAAUAACUCUUAUGAAACUGCGAAUGGCUCAUUAAAUCAGUUAUCAAAUACGUGAUGGUCGCCUACUACAUGGAUAACCGUAGUAAUUCUAGAGCUAAUACAUGCACAAAGGCCCACUCACGUGGGUUGUGAUUAUUAGAUUCAAACCGGCCUCGUUCUGGUGAUUCAUAAUAAUUGGUCGAACCGCAUGCCCUUGUGGUGGCGGUGAUUCAUCCUUAUUUCUGCCCUAUCAAUUUGUUGGUAGUAUAUAGGACUACCAAGAUGAUUACGGGUAACGGAGAAUUAGGGUUUGAUUCCGGAGAGGGAGCCUGAGAAACGGCUACCACAUCUAAGGAAGGCAGCAGG